rnacentral:rRNA from 1 species
AUUGAACGCUGGCGGCAGGCUUAACACAUGCAAGUCGAACGAGUGGCGGACGGGUGUGUAACGCAUGGGAAUUUAGCUUAUGGAGGGGGAUAACUACGGGAAACUGUAGCUAAUACCGCGUACCAUAGGAUGAGCCCAAGUGGGAUUAGGUAGUUGGUGAGGUAAAGGCUCACCAGGCCGACGAUCUCUAGCGGGUCCGAGAGGAUGACCGGCCACACUGGAACUGGUACACGGCCCAGACUCCUACGGGAGGCAGCAGUGGGAACUAUUGCGCAAUGGGGGCAACCUGACGCGGCCAUGCCGCGUAAAUGAAGAGGGCCUUCGGGUUGUAAAGUUCUUUCGGUAGCGAGGCGUUAACUACAGAAGAAGCACCGGCUAACUCCGUGCCAGCAGCCGCGGUAAUUC